AUUGAACGCUGGCGGCAUGCUUUACACAUGCAAGUCGAACGGCAGCGCGGGGCAACCUGGCGGCGAGUGGCGAACGGAUGCGUAAUACAUCGGAACGUACCCAGAAGUGGGGGAUAACGUAGCGAAAGUUACGCUAAUACCGCAUACGUUCUACGGAAGAAAGUGGGGGACCUUCGGGCCUCAUGCUUUUGGAGCGGCCGAUGUCUGAUUAGCUAGUUGGUGAGGUAAAGGCUCACCAAGGCGACGAUCAGUAGCUGGUCUGAGAGGACGACCAGCCACACUGGGACUGAGACACGGCCCAGACUCCUACGGGAGGCAGCAGUGGGGAAUUUUGGACAAUGGGCGCAAGCCUGAUCCAGCAAUGCCGCGUGAGUGAAGAAGGCCUUCGGGUUGUAAAGCUCUUUUGUCAGGGAAGAAACGGCUGAGGAUAAUACCUUCGGCUAAUGACGGUACCUGAAGAAUAAGCACCGGCUAACUACGUG
rnacentral:rRNA from 1 species